GAGGUUGGAGCGGGCGGCGGACGUCGGCAGAACGCUCGGUGGGGUGGGACCGUCUCCUAGGUGACACAGGAAGGAUGCCGCGAGCUUCUCAGGGGCUGCGACCUUCGCAAAGGCUUUUGGAACCCGGUCCGGUGUGGCUACUGAGGCUGCCGCUACUCCCUGGAGGCCGCAGGUCUGGGCCGAUCGGCCUCAGGGGAGAGGCGGGACAAGGCGGGAUGUUGCGGUUCGUCUUUCUGAAUCAAGGCUAGAAACGUACAGCCACAGGAGGCUCAAAGAGACGGGAACUGAAAUGAGGUUGUUGGCGGUCCGCGAGCAGCCGUCUGCAAGGAUGGACGCUGGAAGAUAAAGCGGAGAAAAGAUCUCGGAAGAAAGUGUUGCUGGCCGGUACUCAUUGGGCCCUUGGUUUCAAAUUCAUUCGGCCUUAGGGAGGGGUCAGGACCUGGCAUGCUGGGAUUUGGAGUCCAGACCAAAGCAACUCCCAGGGGUUAAGCUAGCCGGGCAGCGGGACACAACCCACUGCUCCUUCUACAACAUGCAAGGUCAGAAGAGGGCACCAGACCUCAUUACAGAUGGUUGUGAGCCACCAUGUGUUUGCCGAGAAUUGAACUCAGGACCUUUGGAAGAGCAGGGCAAUUCAUGUAUCCCUCCUAGGAUCCUACUUGUUACCUAGCUUUUCUGGAGCUGUGGAUUGUAACCUGGUUAUCCUUUGCUUAACAUCUAUUAUUUCACUUAUGAAGCCUUCAUCUAGCAACUGAUGGAAACAGAUGCAGAGAUCCACAGUCACUGGCUGAGUGUUGAAGGUGCCGUGUUAGCCAAGCUCCAGUUGAAGACAGGGAGGAGCGAUAAUAUGAGCAAAGGUGUCAAGAUCAUGAUGGGGAUAUCCACAGGACAGCUCACCUGAGCUAAUCGGACUCUGGACUGACAGCAGGGGAACCAGCAUAGGACCAAACUAGUCCCUUUGAAUGUUCACAGUUCAACUCUGCUCCCAUGAAUCUGACUGAGAUUUCUACAGCCUGUGAGAAGUUACCAAUUUCUUAUCAUUUUCAUACGAAAAAUUUCUGACUGGCGACAUAACUCAGUGGUAGAACUCCUCCUGCCUGACAUGUACCUGGAUCUGUAUUCUAUUCAUAAGACCCAUAAUGACCCGGUUUACACCUCGAACCGUUUAAGAGGCAGGAGACUGCAAAUCUGGUCACUUAGGAAGGAGCCCAGGGCACCUAAUUGAAACCCAGGACUUAAUGGUGUUUGUGACCCCACAUGGCCCCCUCAAGAUGCCUGUUGGAGACUUGUUCUUUGGGGGCAGACCUAAUGUCUGGUGAGCUGGAGCUGGUGGCCCAAGGAAAAAUCCAACUCGGCACUGGUAACACAGAAGAAGCAGCAGAGCCGCAGCCUCGGGAACAGCUCGUCCAGAAGCUGGUGCUGUCAGAGUGGCAAGGCGGCCCGCCGCUCGAUAACUGAAGACGCAGGCCUAUGAGGUUAGCAGGCCAAGACAGAUGGCGAAACAAAUGAAACUCAGCCCCAAACACACCGAUACACCAAAAACAAGCAAAGCAAAACAGCAACAACAGAAGAACAUAAACCAGAACAUCCAAACUGGCCUACGUACCUGUUCUGCCUCUGUCUUCGGAGCAGGAAAAUGCUAAGAUUGAAGCCAUGCUUCAAGAAGUGAGAACCUCCCCAGAAAUGCCAGGUUGGGAGUGAAAAAGGCCCUGUAGAAGAGCGCUGGUAUUCGGCACUAGGAGAAGUAUGGAUAUUUUCCUCUUCCGGUAACUGGAGGCCCCUGGGCUAAAUCUUCACUUGCAUAGUUAGUUCCCGAUUUUUGCUUCAUCUUUUUUUUCAGUCCUUGGCCUAAUGCACACCUAUUCCCAUAGACUGUGUGAGGAGAUAAAGCAAACUUGGGGCAAGUUUUGACUUUGCAACACUUUCUUCUGAAAGUAACUGUCAGAACAUUUCCAUUCCUGUCUGAGACUGCUUUGGGAGCCCUGUGGUGCUGUACCUGCUGUGACAUUACCAGGUAGAAGAGAGACGUGGAACACGGUCGUUCUUCAGCUGUUGAGCUUCUAGUUCCCACACCACUGGUCCUCCCUGGAUUUGCCACCGUAGGGCUGGAUGUUUACAUCCUUUAGGAUGGGGAGAAAAGCAAAACGAACAGUUUUUGAGACAUCAGAUGUUCUAAUCAGAAAUAUAUUGUAAUUUAGCUAAAUUGCUAUGAAAAUAUGAGGCCAUGAAAGAUCAAUUUGUCGUUUUGUCUAUCAAUUUGAUUUAGCAAUGAUUUACUAGGCAUUGCCGGCAUUGUUUCAAGUAUGACUCUCCUAACUCCACAGCCUUGUGCAAUUUUUCAGGCACCUUCACGGUGACAUUCAUUUUAGAAUACUUUUUUCCACUCCUCUAGAAAAUCAGGAAGUUGAAAAUGGCAGUAUUGAUAGGAAACCUAAAAUCCAAUCAGAUAUCUGGCCCACGUUCAGACUUACUUGGUUGUGUUAUUUAAAUCACAAUCCAGACAAAGUUUAUACAUUGGAUUCACUUGAAGUGUGCACUGUGAGGCAUUUUAUGUACAGGGAAGCUCAGGAGCAGAGAAGAGCAUAUGGUCAGGAUUCAGGGAAAAUUCUCUGCUGAAUCAGUUAGUCCUGUUGGGGUUACAGAUUUUAGGAAGCCAUAGUCUUUGUCCUCAAGGAGUUCCGUCUUCUGUUCCUAUAACACUCUAUGAGUAUAUCCAUCACAAGCCUUACAUUAUUAGUUUUUCUGCAUCUGUCCUCAGUUAAAGGCGGGGAGCAUUUCGUCUUCAACAUUGCAUUUGUUAUACACAGCUCAGUUACUGGUACGCAGUAGGAAGCGGUGUCCUUUGUCUAACUUUGCAUUGGGAACCAUGAGAUUUUUAUAGCAUGGCUGUGCCUUGAUAAGGUUUUCAUUGGAGGUAAAUAAAGGUUGCUAGUUGUUUUGGAAACAUGGACGAUUGGAAGCAGGGAGGAGUCUAUUGCAGAGUUCAUGCUAGAGAGGAUGAAGAUGAGAACUAGGGUGAAGACAGUAGGUAUGAAGAAAAGGCGAAUGGAGAGUUGCUGAGAAGGCAAGUUAGCACGAUUUGGGAACCUUUCCUAUGUGGAGAAUGAGGAGCUUCAGGCUUGGGGAACAGUGAUGCCCCUUGAAGAUUCAGAGCAAAAUGGGGAAGCUGGUUUGGGGGAGGGGAGAUCGAUUCAGUUUUGACCAUGCUGAAGUUGAGGUGACUGCUAGGAAUUUGCCAUCUGUCAGGAUUUGGGAGAUCAAAACAUAAGAGAGAAGUCAGGAGUGAAAACCAGAGGGUCCUAAGUACAUAGGUGGUGCUUAAAACUAGAUGCCAUCCUUCACGGACAAAAUAUGUAGUGAAACAGGAAGGGAAACGUUAAGAAACCCUUACAGAUUUUAGCAAGUAAUUGAAAAAUGAGAAGCUCUGGAGGAAGAUAGGAAAGGAAUAGCUACAGAGAUUAGAGGAAAACCAAGACAGUGUGGUGUCAUUGCAGCCAAAGGAUGAGAGACUUCAGGAAGGCCUGGCCAGGAGCACCUUAUACAUAGCUAGGGGGGUGAUGGUAAGGAAAAGUUACAUGUGGCCGAGAUGUACAGUGUUUUGGCAGGAGGUGAGCCCAGAAAGACUAGUUAGGUCCUUGUACUGUCUGGUUUCGUGUGUCAACUUGACAUCAUCUAGAGUCGUCAAAGAGGAAGGUGCCUCAGUUGAGGAAAUGCCCCGGUGAGAUCCAGUUGUAAGGCAUUUUCUCAAUUAGUGAUCAAUAGGAGAGGGCCCAGCCUGUGGUAGGUGCUGCUAUUCCUGGACUGGGUUCUGUAAGAAAGCAGGCUGAGCAAGCCAUGUGAAUCAAGCCAAUAAACAGCACCCCUCCAUGACCUCUGCAUCAGCUCCUGCCUCUGGGUUCCUCUUCUGUUUGAGUUCCUGUCCUGGCUUCUUUCGGUUGUGAACAGAAAUAUAGAAGUCUAAGUCUAAUGAAAUCUUUCAUCCCCAACUUGCUUUUUGGUCAUGGUAUUUUGUUUCAGCUGUAAACCCUAACUAAGACAGUCCUGGUCCUAAAGGAGCUUGGUUAUCAGGCCAGAGAACUCUGAACUUUUGUAAAUGAUGGAGAGCUAUCAAUAAUUUUCAGAUAAGAAGGACCUGUUCAGAGCAAGGGUUACAAAGAUCAAGCUGGGGCAGCAUGGGAACUCCUAUGGAGGAAUGGGACUGGAGACAUCAAAAUGAAGUGAAGGGGCCCUUAAGUUGUGGGAACAGCACCGUCUUUGAAGAUCCUUAGCAGAUGAAAUUAGCAAGCCCUAAAAGCAGUAGGAACACUCUGAACCAUAGAGUAAGCAUUAUUAAUAACCAUGUGAGUUAUCUUGUUAAGUCCUCACAGCAAGCCUGAGGUAGAUAAGCAUCAUUAAUGUCAUUUCGUGCAUGAUAAAACAGGAACAUAGAGAUAAAGAUAUUUGCUGAACAGAAUUGGUAAUUGAAAGAACCUAUUUUCCAAACUCUGGUGGUUUGGCUAACCAUCACCUUCCCCCCUCCCCCGCUCCCCUCCAUAGAUUAAACCUAUGGCUUUCCACAAGCACUCUACUACUAACCAUAUCUAAAUGAUCCCAUUACCUACCAAAGGCUGACCUCGAACCUAAGCAGGUCUUCAGCUUGCUCUCCUCCUGCCUCAGCCCUCCAAGUAGCUGAAAUUACAGGCCUGUACUCCCAGGCCUGGCUCUAACAUCCAUUCUUAAGGAUUUCAUUGUUUUUUUUUUAAUUAGAAAACAUGUGGUGUGGUACAUUGGCCCCUAAACACUACUGUGGUGGUACCCAGUGGUGUUGGCAUCAACUGCCAGUGACAGUCAGAGUGGUGGUCACUCUUACCAGGGGUCUGCCAAGUGGGAAAGCACAAAGGGAACAUCUUCAGUCCUGGGUAUGUCCUGGGUGGUCAUUGCAGGUUACACAAAUAAAUGCUCAAAAUACACAUGGAAGACAUGGAUUUAGUGCUACAGCACCCUGAAUAAGUAGCCCCUGAGUGAGGAGUGUUGCCACACUUUUGCUGUUGUUGACAACAGGUUUUUUUUCUGCUUUAGAUGUCAGUUAAUUGAACUUCUUUUAAAUAAUGUGGUUCUCUUCUCUGCUUUCACACACAUGUGACAGCCUUUACAGCAGAACCUAACAGCGGAGUUCAUUGGUGACCCUUUUUUAAUUGAUAUUUAUUGAGCUCUACAUUUUUCUCUGCUCCCCUCCCUGCCUCUCUCC